AUAGAUUAAGUUAUUAAGGGCGCACGGUGGAUGCCUUGGCACUAGAAGCCGAUGAAGGACGUUACUAACGACGAUAUGCUUUGGGUAGCUGUAAGUAAGCGUUGAUCCAGAGAUUUCCGAAUGGGGGAACCCAGCAUGAGUUAUGUCAUGUUAUCGACAUGUGAAUUUAUAGCAUGUCAGAAGGCAGACCCGGAGAACUGAAACAUCUUAGUACCCGGAGGAA
rnacentral:rRNA from 1 species